rnacentral:tRNA from 1 species
GGGAAAGUGGCUCAGUGGUAGAGCGCUUGCUUUGCAUGCAUAAGGCUCUGGGUUCGAUUCCUCAGCACCA